GCACCCAGCGUGUAGGCUUUCAGACUGGGCCCAGGCUGGGACUGUGGGCCGUGCUCAGCCCGGGGGGUCCGUCCCUGACAUGGCCACGGCCUACAGGGGGCCUGAACCCUGGGUCCCUGCAGGCCAGCUGAGCCAGAGGCUAAGGGCCGAGGAGAAGACACUGGACUUGGAGUUCGAGGUCUUGAGUGUGGGGUUUAAUGAGGAGGGCAGAUACGCCCUGCAGCUGUCAGUUGAGAACCCCCUGCAGGCCAGCUCUGGGGCUGGGGUGCAGCUGCAGGUAAAUGAUGGGGACCCCUUCCCUGCCUGCUCUGCUGUCACCGAUGUCAUUGAGCAGCAGGAUCCUGGCCAGAGCCUCACCCUCACCAGGAGAAAGUUUGUCUUCACUUUGCCCAAAGGGUUCUGCAAGAACGAUGGGCAGCAUGAUGCCCAGCUGCGGGUGGAGGCACUGAGGCUGGGCGGGGCCUCAGGAAGCCCGGCCCAGCGGGUGGGCGAGGCCAUCUUCCCCAUCUACCCACGCCCAGACCACCCACGCAUGAACGUCUCCGCGCUGGAGCAUGAGGAUCUGUACCGCUACUGUGGCAGGCUGGCUCUGCUCCGGGCCAGCGCCGACCCCACGGCCCGCCACUGCGGGGGCCUGGCCUACAGCGUGGCCUUCCACGUGCACUGGGCCCCUCAGCCUCCCUCCUCCAGCUGUUUUCUGGACACCGGCCAGCCAGAACCGACAUCACCACGCCCAGAGCCCCAGCUGCCCAGGCUGCAGGUUGCUGAAGGCCCAGAGGACCCCCUGAAGACCUCUCAGAGUGUGGAAUCUGUCAUUGGCCACCUGUCUCCCUCUAAUAAGGAAACCAUCAUGGUCACUCUCCACGGGGCCACCAACCUACCUGCCUGCAAGGAUGGCUCCGAGCCAUGGCCCUAUGUGGUAGUGAAAACCACAUCUGAGGAAGCGAAGAACCAGAACUCCAAGGCAGUCACAUCUGUGACCUCAGAGCCCACCAAAGCCCCCAGCUGGGGAGACACAGUCAAAGUGGAGAUCCAAGCAGAGGACGCAGGGCGAGAAGAUGUAGUCCUCAAGGUGGUAGACAACAAAAAGAAAGAGGAGCUGUUGUCUUACCAAAUCCCCAUCAAGUACCUGCGUGUCUUCCACCCCUACCACUUUGAGCUGGUGACGCCCACCCAGUCUGGGAAAGCUGACAAAGACACUGCCAAGACCCAAGUGUACGCAACAGUCGUUCGGAAGAGCAGCUUCAUCCCCCGCUAUGUUGGUUGCAACCACACAGCUCUGGAGGUCUUUCUGCGAGGAGUCAACGAACCCCUGGCCAACAAUCCCAACCCCAUGGUGGUCAUUGCCAGGGUGGUUCCCAACUACAAGGAUUUUAAGGUCAAUCAGGUAAACCAGGACCCGACAUCCCUGGGGCUGCCCAUCACCUCACUCUCUUUCCCUAUCCCAUCCGUGAUGAACUUUGAUGUUCCUCGAGUCAGCCAGAACGGGUGCCCUCAGCUGUCCAAGCCCGGGGGUCCCCCGGAGCUGCCCGUGUGGAAUCAGUCCUUCCUCUUCCAAGGCCGAGAUGGAGCCACCACCUUCUCAGAAGACACAGCCCUUGUGCUGGAGUACUACUCCUCCACCUCAAUGAAAGGCAGUGAGCCAUGGACCCUCAGCAAGCCCCUGGGCGUCUCUGUGUUGCCGCUAAACAGCCGUUUGUACCGCAAGAUGCUGACAGGAAAAGGCCUGAAUGGGCUGCGUGUGGAGCGGCUCCCCAUCACCGACACCUCGCUGAAAACCAUGAGUGGUGAGGCCCCCACGGUGGAUCUCUCCUUCCAGCUGCUUUCCUCCGAGAGGCCUGAAAACUUCUUGACACCAAAGAACAGCAAGACUCUGCCCAUCCUGGACCCCAAGAUCUUAGAUGAAAAGCUGGGUACCAUCCGCGAGUCCUGGUCCAAGGCCACAGUGAGCUCCAUAAUGGACUCCAGCACAUCCACCUCUCAGGAAGCGGAGGAAGAGCCUGAGGUGCUCAGGAUGUCCCGGGAACUGGAGAUGAACAACUACCGGCGGGCCAUGCAGAAGAUGGCAGAGGACAUCCUGUCGCUACGGAAACAGGUCAGCACCCUGGAGGCAGAGAACCGCUUGCUGAGGAGCCACCUGACCCAGGAGGAGGUAGAAGAGGAGCAGGACAAUGCUGACAAGGCCCAGAACCUAGUGUUCAUGAAGCAGAAACUGCUGCUGAGUGAGCUGGACAUGACGAAACUGAGGGACAAGGUGCAGCGUUUGCAGAAUGAGCUGAUUCGAAAGAAUGAUCGAGAGAAGGAGCUGCUCCUCCUGUACCAGGCUCAGCAACCACAGGCUGUGCUGCUGAAGCGGUACCAGGACAAGCUGCAGAAGAUGAAGAUGCUGGAGGAGACCGUGCGGCACCAGGAAAAGGUGAUCGAGAAGAUGGAGCACGUACUGGAGGACAAGCUGCGGGAUAAGAACCAGCCCCCGCAGACCAGGCUGCAGGGAAAGCCCAACGUGGCCUUCCCCAUGCUCUCAGCCUCUGGCCUUCCCCCUGGUCCUACGGGAGAGAACCUACCUGCUGACCUUUACUCAGUGCUGCUGGCGGAAAACUCAAGGUUGCGGGCAGAGCUGGAUAAGAGCCGCCACCACUCGGCCCCCAUUAUUCUGCAACAGCAGGCUCUGCCGGUGGACCCCAGGGAGUUGGGAGCAGGAGGAGGCCUGGCAGAGAGGCUACAGGAGACAGAUGGUCCAGCCCAGUCCACGUGCACAGGGACCCUGCCUGCGCAGGUGGGUGCCCCAGGCCCCAGAAAUGCCCUGGCCCCACUCCACUUCCAAGGCUGCUACAGGCGUUCCUGCUUUAUGCAAACCCCAAGACAGGACACAUGGAAUUACAGAAGAGGGGUGAGCAGGGCCUCAGGAGCUCUUCUCUUCACCCCAGGACUCCCAGGAGGUGAGUUCUGUUUGAAAGCACACCUGAUGCAUGGACAUCCAGGUAAAGUGUGGGGCAUGGGGAGACCCUUGCUUCACAAACAGAUUCUUCACUUUACAAGAAGACUCCCAGUUCAAGAUUCUUUUCUGUGCACUUAUGAGUGUUCCCUAGUACAUUUUACAUUUAAAAAUUGAUGUGCAAAAACUUCAUAUACCCCAAAUCUGUGGGGAGGACAGCUGUGAAGAAAGCACACGCCGUGCCAGGGGUGAACUCCUUCGGGAAGAGGGUUCCGCACUGGGUCUGAAGCUCUGUAUCAAGGAGCUAAGUCUGGAACUCAGACCGGGUUGGUUUCUGCUCAGCAUCUCGUGGCCUCCUGAGCUCACACAGCCGCAGCCCCCAGCUGGGCCCAUGUGUGAGUUUCUGCUCUGCCCACAGGAUCUCCUUGCAAGCACUUCAGACAAGUUUAACCUCCUGGCCAAGCUGGAACGAGCUCAGAGCCGGAUCCUGUCCCUGGAGAGCCAGUUAGAGGACUCAGCUCGACGCUGG